UACGUAGAAGACUAGAGUUAUUCAUCUUUAAUAGGUUAAAGGGUACCUAGACGGUAUAAUUAGUCUAAACAGGAUACGAUUAUACUAGAGUUAUAUAUGAGGAGGUGAGUAUUUAUGCAGUAGAGUUGAAAUUCGUUGAUAGCAUAACGACUGGUAACGGCGAAAGCAACCUUUAUCUAAUAACUGACGUUGAGGACGAAGGCUCGGGUAACGAACAGG
rnacentral:rRNA from 1 species